UUUCUUGAACCUCAAAAUACA
rnacentral:piRNA from 1 species